rnacentral:rRNA from 1 species
GACGAACGCUGGCGGCGUGCUUAACACAUGCAAGUCGAACGAUGAAGCCGGAGCUUGCUCUGGUGAAUUAGUGGCGAACGGGUGAGUAACACGUGAGUAACCUGCCCUUGACUCUGGGAUAACUGCGGGAAACUGUAGCUAAUACCGGAUACGACCCUCGGAGGCAUCUCCUGGGGGUGGAAAGAAUUUCGGUCAAGGAUGGACUCGCGGCCUAUCAGCUAGGUGGUGAGGUAAAGGCUCACCAAGGCGACUGAGGGUAGCCGGCCUGAGAGGGUGACCGGCCACACUGGGACUGAGAAACGGCCCAGACUCCUACGGGAGGCAGCAGUGGGGAGUAUUGCACAAUGGGCGCAAGCCUGAUGCAGCAACGCCGCGUGAGGGAUGACGGCCUUCGGGUUGUAAACCUCUUUUAGCAGGGAAGAAGCGAAAGUGACGGUACCUGCAGAAAAAGCACCGGCUAACUACGUGCUAGCAGCCGCCGUAA